rnacentral:rRNA from 1 species
UGGGGAAUAUUGCACAAUGGGCGCAAGCCUGAUGCAGCAACGCCGCGUGAACGAUGAAGGUCUUCGGAUCGUAAAGUUCUGUUGCAGGGGAAGAUAAUGACGGUACCCUGUGAGGAAGCCCCGGCUAACUACGUGCCAGCAGCCGCGGUAAUACGUAGGGGGCUAGCGUUAUCCGGAUUUACUGGGCGUAAAGGGUGCGUAGGUGGUCUUUCAAGUCGGUGGUUAAGGGCUACGGCUCAACCGUAGUUAGCCUCCGAAACUGGAAGACUUGAGUGCAGGAGAGGAAAGUGGAAUUCCCAGUGUAGCGGUGAAAUGCGUAGAUAUUGGGAGGAACACCAGUAGCGAAGGCGGCUUUCUGGACUGCAACUGACACUGAGGCACGAAAGCGUGGGUAGCAAACAGG